rnacentral:tmRNA from 2 species
GGGACUGAUCGGGAUCGAUGGGAGUCUGCAGCCCAAGUGUGCAAGCCGAGGGAGUAUUCAACCUCGUAAAUCCUGAAUACACGAGAAGCAACUGCCAACAUCUUCUCUCAGGUGAAGACUGCAUUCGCGAAAGCGUUUGCUGUUCCAGCCUUUGCACCGGUCGUCGCUUAAGUCGAUGACCCGCCCAUUUCCUUGAUGCUCGAUAAGGGAAAUUCGGGUGUCAUAUCUUUCGAGCUGGACCGCCGGGUCGCCGGUCUCCGUCGGUCAAGAGUUGCGAUCGGUAGCGUGUUCACGUUUCGUUCUGUUUUUCAGUGGACACGUCUUCUAAGCAGAACUGAGCUUGGAGAAACAUUUGAGUCGCACUUACCAGACGGGGGUUCAAUUCCCCCCAGUUCCAUCA